UAGGGAAUCUUCCGCAAUGGACGAAAGUCUGACGGCGCAACGCCGCGUGAGUGAUGAAGGUUUUCGGAUCGUAAAGCUCUGUUGUUAGGGAAGAACAAGUGCCGUUCAAAUAGGGCGGCACCUUGACGGUACCUAACCAGAAAGCCACGGCUAACUACGUGCCAGCAGCCGCGGUAAUACGUAGGUGGCAAGCGUUGUCCGGAAUUAUUGGGCGUAAAGGGCUCGCAGGCGGUUUCUUAAGUCUGAUGUGAAAGCCCCCGGCUCAACCGGGGAGGGUCAUUGGAAACUGGGGAACUUGAGUGCAGAAGAGGAGAGUGGAAUUCCACGUGUAGCGGUGAAAUGCGUAGAGAUGUGGAGGAACACCAGUGGCGAAGGCGACUCUCUGGUCUGUAACUGACGCUGAGGAGCGAAAGCGUGGGGAGCGAACA
rnacentral:rRNA from 1 species